rnacentral:rRNA from 1 species
AAUGAACGUUGGCGGCAUGGAUUAGGCAUGCAAGUCGAGCGAGAAGGGUUUUGAAGCUUGCUUUAGAACCCGGACAGCGGCGAAAGGGAGAGUAACGCGUAGUUAUGUGCCCUAGGGUCCGGAAUAGCCACGGGAAACUGUGGGUAAUGCCGGAUAAUAUCCCCGGAUCAAAGGUGUGAUUCCGCCCUAGGAGCAGACUGCGUCCUACUAGCUAGUUGGUGGGGUAAUGGCCCACCAAGGCAACGAUGGGUAGCGGGUGUGAGAGCAUGACCCGUCUCACUGGGACUGAGACACUGCCCAGACACCUACGGGUGGCUGCAGUCGAGAAUCUUCGGCAAUGGGCGAAAGCCUGACCGAGCGAUGCCGCGUGCGGGAUGAAGGCCCUCGGGUUGUAAACCGCUGUCGUAGGGGAGGAAGGUUUCGUGAAGAGCGAAAUUUGACCUAUCCUAGGAGGAAGUACGGGCUAAGUUCGUGCCAGCAGCCGCCGUAACAC